GCCGACAUAGCUCAAUGGUUGAGCAACUGCUUCGUAAGCAGAAGGCUGGAGGUUCAAAUCCUCUUGUCGGCU
rnacentral:tRNA from 1 species